CGGUAAGUGGCUGAGGCUUAUUGCGAAUGAAAGAGGAAUCGAGGUCGAUCCUGCUAAAAAAAAAGAAGAAAAAAAAUAAUACAAGAAAUGCCUGAACCGAGAACAGAAAAAGAGGUUUGUGGUCUCUUAGGUAGAUUGAACUGCAUUUCACGGUUCACAUCUCAUCUAACAGCCACGUGGGAACCCACUCAAGCUGUUGUGAAAAAAAAAUGAUGAUCAAAC
rnacentral:lncRNA from 1 species